CAUACGAUCCCUGAAGUUAAGCAAUAUCCCGCCUGAUCAGUACUUAGAUGGGUGACCACUUGGGAGUACUAGGUGCUGUAA